CUUGCAAGACAUUGGCAGGUGAACUGCAAGAUCCCCCCUUGUGGAUGAUGUUGUCGGCCAUUCGUUUUGCACGGAGGAUAAAGAAUAUACUGGAAAUCAACAUCUGCCAAACUGCUGCUUGUUGCGAAGUAAACCGAGUGCAGUUAUGGUAGAACCCUAUAAACUCUGCCUAGCAACUGGUGGCCAGACAAAUGUGACAAGAAAUAUGACCUGGUUCUGGUAAAAAUGAGGAGGCAUGGUGGGCGGGAGGUCCCGUAUGACCCAGGGGCCAAACGGAUUAACUUUUAAUCAUGAUCAUGAUCUGGACAGGGAAUGUCAAUCUGGAUCACAUUUAAACCUGCAGCUCUAAAGUUUUUUUUUUAAGUCAAGCCUCUUCAGAAUGACAAAUAAAUACAUAAAUAACCUCUGUAUAUGA